GACGUUGCGUGGAUGCGCGCGACUACCUACAUCCACCGAUGCCGGGUUUACCCGGCUAUGGCGAUAAAAGGCGGCGCGCAAUAGAUGCAGCGGACCCGGGGGCGGUACCCGGCGGCUCCACCAUUUGCGCCGGCCUGCGGCCCGUUUCGGCGGGCGGCUGGACGGCGCAACUGACGGGGCCGAACUAGGAUCGACGUGUGUUGAAAAACGCUGCUCUUCGCUCGGAAUGGGACCACCGCAACGGCCCAUUACACAAGUGCCAACGAUAACGAAGCACUCGCGAUUGCGGCGUAACUGAGGGCCUCACGGCCUAAGGUUACUCCAAAAUAGCGCGGUUGGACCCCACCGGGCAACAGAAGGGGAAUCCAGCGGUACGGGGAGCACCGGGCAACAGAAGCUCCCCACU
rnacentral:tmRNA from 1 species